UGUGGCGCCCACCAUCCUUCGCAAUGACAUCUCGCAUCUUGGUGGGCGCCACAGAGCAGUAGACGAAGUCUCCCGCGUCGUCUCCGGGCCACCCCUCGGCCAGAGCUCGACGGUAACAGAAGAAGGAGAGAGAGAACCUUGAUAAUCGUUGGUCGGUAUCCAUAAGCUCCAUGUCUUGUCGCGAUCGAAAACGAUGUAGAUCUCAGGUUUUGAUUUGUACUAUAUGUGUUUGGCGAUUCCUACGUCAGAUUAUCGCCAAAUCGACCUUCUUUUUGUCUUUCCUAUUUCCAGGGAUUUGCUCAUUAAACUGGGAAAUCAUCUUUCCGAGAUGAUUUUACUGAUCGCGCAUCGCCAAGAAAAGAUGAAUGGACAAAGGAAGGGGAGGAAGAUGGUAGUGGUUGUGGCUGGGUUGCAGAUUUGUGGAUACCAUGGCAAAUGAGCCAAGGCAGAGACAGUCUCUUAUCAAGAGCGAUGUACGUAUGAUCCAGGUUUUGUUGCAGAUAUUAAUUCCUUGCAAGUACAUGAUAUACCCUUGGGAAAAGGCACCAUUUUCCACCUCCAUACAGAGACAAAGACAUGUUCACACAUGUAGUACAUAGCAAAGAGAGAAAGAUUUGCAUGUUGAUUAGAAAUUGGGAUGUUCACUUCUUCGUGUCAUUUAAUCAUGUGAAAUGAUCCAAGCAGUAAGGAUGCAAAUCUUUCAACAUGCUAUAGCUAUCAAGUUACAAGAGAGACAUCCAGAAGGCAGCAACAAGUACAUGGAGCAGAUCAUUUGCUGAAUGUUCAAAAACAACAACAACAAUUAAGUCGUAAAUCUCAACUAUUUGAGGUUGGCUAUAUGAAUCUUUUAUCAAGAUACAUGUUCGUAAGAUCGGACGUAGUUUUAAAUUGGUUAUCAGUGGCCUAAAUUAAUCUUUCACCUUUAUCAUCUGGGCUUGAUGGCUUGAGACUAGCAUGAUGGUGUUAAAAUGCUUAUGUGGUAUUGUUAAAGUUACAAGCAGAAAUUAUCCUUACACGUGUUGUA